rnacentral:rRNA from 1 species
GGUUGUUGGGAAUUAGUUUUCUCAGUAACGAAGCUAACGCGUGAAGUUGACCGCCUGGGGAGUACGGCCGCAAGGUAGAUACUCAGAGGAAUUGACGGGGACCCCCACAAGCGGAGGAUGAUGUGGAUUAAUUAGCUGCAACCAGAACAACAUCACCCACCUACGACAUGGCAGGAAGUUUCCAGAGAUGGAUUCGUGCUCGAAAGAGAACCUGCACCCAGUUGCGGCAUGGCUGUCUUCAGUUCGUGUCGUGAGAGGUUGGGUUAAUUCCCGCAACGAGCGCAACCUUGUCUUUCGUUGCUACAUUUAGUUGGGCACUCUAAUGAGACUGCCGGUGACAAACCGGAGGAAGGUGGGGAUGACGUCAAGUCCUCAUGGCCCUUAUAGGUGGGGCUACACACGUCAUACAAUGGCUGGUACCGAGGGUUCCCAACCCGCGAGGGGGAGCUAAUCCCAUAAAACCCGUCGUAGUCCGGAUCGCAGUCUGCAACUCGACUGCGUGAAGUCGGAAUCGCUAGUAAUCGCGGAUCAGCAUGCCGCGGUGAAUACGUUCCCGGGUCUUGUACACACCGCCCGUCACACCAUGGGAGCGGGUCUCGCCAGAAGUAGGUAGCCUAACCGCAAGGAGGGCGCUACCACGGCGG